rnacentral:rRNA from 1 species
GACGAACGCUGGCGGCGUGCCUAAUACAUGCAAGUAGAACGCAGUUGCGAACGGGUGAGUAACGCGUAGGUAACUGCCUCAUAGCGGGGGAUAACUAUUGGAAACGAUAGCUAAUACCGCAUACUGUGAGAUGGACCUGCGUUGUAUUAGCUAGUUGGUGAGGUAAAGGCUCACAAAGGCGAGGAUACAUAGCCGACCUGAGAGGGUGAUCGGCCACACUGGGACUGAGACACGGUCCAGACUCCUACGGGAGGCAGCAGUAGGGAAUAUUGAGCAAUGGGCGGAAGCCUGAUGCAGCCAUGCCGCGUGUAUGAAGAAGGCCUUCGGGUGGUAAAGUACUUUCAGCGGGGAGCGUUACCCACAGAAGAAGCACCGGCUAACUCCGUGCCAGCAGCCGCGGUAAGAC